rnacentral:lncRNA from 1 species
CCCGUGGUGCGCUCCGGUCGAGGGCUUUGUCGGCCCGGCGCGGGAUUUGAGCCGCCGUCGAUGGAUUUCUCGCAGCUUGGCUGCGUCUUGCUUUGGAUCCGGUACGGUCCCCAUCUCUCUCUCGCUCUCUCUCUCUCACUCUGCGCGCGCGCGCACGCGUAGAGUUCACACCAGUAGAUCCUAAACCGAAUCAGCCGAGCUCUCGUUGCCGCCUCAGUUCCCCAGCGCUGCCACGGUGCCGCCAGCCACCGCCAUUCCAUUGGCUUGGAUUCGGUUGUGGCGUCGGUUGGGAGCCGUAGGAUGAUGUCUGAUGCCUCGUCCGUGCGGGAGGUUUGGUCGGUCGAGGCCAGGUAUAAGCAGCUCCUGAGAAGGAUGGAUGAAUGGAUGCAUUCAUGUGUCGUGAACUAAAACCACGACACUUGGUUUCGAACGGAGGGAGUAUAUUUUUAAAACAAAUCAGGUGAGCUCUCGUUGCCGGAUCGCUGACCUAUCGUCCGGAUGCCCACCGCGUCAGUUCCCCACUGCUACGGUGCUGCCUGCCACCGCCGUCCCAUUGCCUUGGAUUUGGUUGUGCGCGUCGGCUGGGAACCGUACGGUGUCUUCUGAUGCGUCGUCCGUGUGGGAGGUUUGGUCGGUCGAGGCCAGGUAUGAGCAGCUCCUGAGCAGGAUGGAUGGAUCUAUGGAUACAUGGAUGUAUGCAUGCAUAUAUGUAUGGAUAUCACUCCGCAAAAAAGAAAAGAAAAAAAAUA